rnacentral:rRNA from 1 species
UACGUAGGGUGCAAGCGUUAAUCGGAAUUACUGGGCGUAAAGCGUGCGCAGGCGGUUUUGUAAGUCUGACGUGAAAUCCCCGGGCUCAACCUGGGAAUUGCGAUGGAGACUGCAAGGCUUGAAUCUGGCAGAGGGGGGUAGAAUUCCACGUGUAGCAGUGAAAUGCGUAGAGACGUGGAGGAACACCGAUGGCGAAGGCAGCCCCCUGGGUCAAGAUUGACGCUCAUGCACGAAAGCGUGGGGAGCAAACAGG